UUAGGUUAUGUGUCAUGUUUCUGUGUCUGUGUGCUCGCCCCUCCCUUCCUGUGUGCCCUUGAUUUGUGUGAUCACACGCACUUGCCUCUCAUUACCUGU